rnacentral:tRNA from 1 species
UAGAGAAAUAGGAAUUGAACCUAUAAUUAAGAGAUCAAAACUCCUC